GACGAACGCUGGCGGCGUGCUUAACACAUGCAAGUCGAACGGAAAGGCCCUGCUUUUGUGGGGUGCUCGAGUGGCGAACGGGUGAGUAACACGCGAGUAACCUGCCCUUGACUUUGGGAUAACUUCAGGAAACUGGGGCUAAUACCGGAUAGGAGCUCCUGCUGCAUGGUGGGGGUUGGAAAGUUUCGGCGGUUGUGGAUGGACUCGCGGCUUAUCAGCUUGUUGGUGGGGUAGUGGCUGACCAAGGCUUUGACGGGUAGCCGGCCUGAGAGGGUGACCGGCGACAUGGGGACUGAGAUACGGAGCAGACUCCAACGGGAGGCAGCAGUGGGGAGUAUUGCAGAGUGGGCGGAAGCCUGAGGCAGCAGCGCCGCGUGCGGGAUGACGGCCUUCGGGUUGUAAACCGCUUUCGACUGUGACGAAGCGUGAGUGACGGUAAUGGGUAAAGAAGCACCGGCUAACUACGUG
rnacentral:rRNA from 1 species